GAAAAAUGAAGAUAAUUUGAUUGCUUCUUAUUACAGUGAAGACUUCAGAUCCAACUCAGAUUUCACUCUAGUU
ensembl:snoRNA